ensembl:misc_RNA Metazoa_SRP Metazoan signal recognition particle RNA
GCCAGGCGUGGUGGUGCGUGCCUGUAAUCCCAGUUACUCGGGAGGCCGAGGCAGAAGAAUCACUUGAACCCGGGAGGGAGAGGUUGCAGUGAGCUGAGAUUGCGCCACUGCACUCUAUCCUGAGUAACAGAGUGAGACUCCGUCUCGA